CGUCCUGACUCUCCCCUCUCUGGUGACGGAUUAUACUCUAAUCCACAGCACCAGCGGAUUUCCUACAACAUGGCGACAUGAUGUUGCGGCGGGGAUUCUGGGGCCCUGCGACUGGGGACCCCUGCAGUCCAGUGCACAGUGAAACAAAACAAUGUUCCUUCAGGAGUAAGGGGAUGCAUAAGACAACAUGAACAAUAAGUAACACAAAACACAGAGCUACAUCAAAACUAAUCAGGUGCAACAUUUAGUGCAAAAAAUGACAGUAAACACCGUAACACUGCAGCACUGACCAGUACAGGAGAUUUAUGUUAGUGCAAGUUAAUUAUCCAUAUAAAUUCUGUACAGGUAAACACUGAAUUGUUUUAGCAAAAAAAGUAUGCAAACAGUUAAUGAGUUUGUUUAUUUGUGUGUGUGUGUGUGUGUGUGUGUGUGUGUGUGUGUGUGUGUGUGUGUGCACGUGCGGCAGUCCAGUCUCUUUGUAUUAAGUAGUUGAAUUGUGAAUAUAAACUGUUACUCAGUCUGGACAUAAAGGCCCGAAUGUUUCAUUGUCUUUUACCAAAUGGCAAAACAGUGGAGUGUGUGUUAGGGGUGUGUGCGAUCAGAGCCUGUUCACAUCCAAGAUCAAAGAUCAAAGGAAACCAGAGAAUCUCAACAGGUGAGAACACACAUAACUUAGACACUAAUCUUGGUACCAAUCUACACACUCUGCUCUAGUGAAGAUCUUUUACCAGAAGAGUGUAUGAUAUAUAGUAGAUGUACUUGGGUGUCCACAUACUUUUGGCCUUAUACAUUUAGACUGUCCCACUCACCCCAAUGAGCAAUGAGGAAAUAUACCCCGUGACUUCAAGAAACCUUCCGAGGGCACUGGACACAAAAGAGGGGAGUCGUACCAUUCUCCUGAUCACAGGAUAUGGAUUAGGUGUAAACGAUUACAUCAGAGGUUCUUAUGGGCAGCCAAGAGAUUACACAGCGUAUCAGGAAGAAGGACUGAGCAUGCAAAUACAUAGAGUAUGGAGAAGCAGGAGGAAGCGGUGAGUGGACUCAGCGCCAUCUUGUGCCAUAAAACCGCUAUUGUCACGCCGACGGGAACAAAAAAUUCGUCACCCUGGGCAUAGGUCAUGUCCCAGAUGAACUGCGAAUACCAGUGCAGCUUGUAGCUUCUUCAGUUCUUGUUCUGAUGUACGAUUUUUGUCUUUCACUAUAGAAAUCUCAUCACAGAAGCCUUUUCUGUACUUAACCUGUGGUUAGAACUUUAGAACACAAUAUGGACAAAAGUAUUGGGACACCUGACUUUCCCAGCAACAUGUGGUUCUUUACCAAACUGUUUUUACAAAGUUGAAGACACACAUUUUUAU